GAUCCUGGCUCAGGAUGAACGCUAGCUACAGGCUUAACACAUGCAAGUCGAGGGGAAACGACAUCGAAAGCUUGCUUUUGACGGGCGUCGACCGGCGCACGGGUGAGUAACGCGUAUCCAACCUGCCCAUCACUUGGGAAUAACCUUGCGAAAGUAAGACUAAUGCCCAAUGAUAUCCCACGAAGGCAUCCGAAUGGGAUUAAAGAUUUAUCGGUGAUGGAUGGGGAGUGCGUCUGAUUAG
rnacentral:rRNA from 1 species